rnacentral:rRNA from 1 species
CAGCAGCCGCGGGAACACAGAGGGUGCGAGCGUUAAUCGGAUUUACUGGGCGUAAAGCGUGCGUAGGCGGCUUCUUAAGUCGGAUGUGAAAUCCCUGAGCUUAACUUAGGAAUUGCAUUCGAUACUGGGAAGCUAGAGUAUGGGAGAGGAUGGUAGAAUUCCGGGUGUAGCGGUGAAAUGCGUAGAGAUCUGGAGGAAUACCGAUGGCGAAGGCAGCCAUCUGGCCUAAUACUGACGCUGAGGUACGAAAGCAUGGGGAGCAAACAGGAUUAGAUACCCCUGUAGUCCCUGUCUCUUAUAC